UACGUAGGGGGCGAGCGUUGUUCGGAAUUACUGGGCGUAAAGGGCGCGCAGGCGGCCUUAGAAGUCAGAUGUGAAAGCCCCGGGCUCAACCUGGGAAUGGCAUUUGAUACUCUGAGGCUGGAGUACGGGAGAGGAGAGUGGAAUUCCCAGUGUAGAGGUGAAAUUCGUAGAUAUUGGGAAGAACACCGGCGGCGAAGGCGGCUCUCUGGACCGUAACUGACGCUGAGGCGCGAAAGCGUGGGGAGCAAACAGG
rnacentral:rRNA from 1 species